UCCCAGGCAGAGCCCUCUAGAGAAAUGGAGUUGGAUCUGACUAGAGCUGAAGGACUCUUUUGAGAAGUGACACUGUGACCAUCAGAGUACUGUGCAUUCAUACACAUGCCUCAAGACUGCCCAUGAGGUUGGCAAAGAAGAUGGCCAAAUUAUGAAAGAGAACAGAUGAAAUGACACAGAGCUUUUUAUAAGCAAGAUGAAGAGCUGAGUGAUGGGCAACAUUUCUGCCUAAGAAACUCUGAGAAAAACAUUUGCACAAGGAUGGAAAAACAGCCUGACAGUAGCAAAGAAAAUUCUGAAGUUGCUUCAGACUCCUUUGACCAUGUGUCCACAUGAUGGAAAACAACUGGGUUGGGAAGGGUGAAUGUGUAACCCUUUGUUCUUAGGGUUCAUGAGGUCUAAUGAGCCAAAGGGUGGGAAAUUGUCUGUUUUGAAAGGUAGAUGCUGUGGGUUUGUAUGGCAUAUAAUUUGACAUGAUAUGCAUACACACAUAAAAUUGGCAUUUACAUAGUC